rnacentral:tRNA from 2 species
GCAUUGGUGGUUCAGUAGUAGAAUUCUCGCCUGCCACGCGGGAGACCCGGGUCCGAUUCCCGGCCAAUGCA